rnacentral:lncRNA from 1 species
ACAACUUAAUCUCAGUGGUUCUAGACCUACUUUAAGUUAGAGCUCGUGGUUGCUUUAAUGUAGGAGGACUUUUUUCAAAGGUGGCACACUCCACUCCUAUCCUAUAAAGAAUGGGGAUUCUACGACUACGGUUAUUAGGUCGAAAUCUGAAGUUUGCACCUCUCUCCAGGGUACAAGUUCCCUUCGUUUCGAUAAGGCAGACAUCGACAUCGUAGUUCUAUUCUGUUCUAUUAGUGCCAGUUCCGGUGCCGGUUGUACCUGUUACAGCAACUACAGUACCGGUUCCUCUAGUAGAAGUUCCCCGGGGAGCAUCCUGUUCAAGCAGUAUUUAAUACUCCAGUUUCUUAGCCUUAGCUCGGGAAGCUAUUUCCUGGUCCUUGAAAGGUGGGACCUUUCGCUCGUAUUUGAAUUCCGUUG